rnacentral:rRNA from 1 species
UACGUAGGUGGCGAGCGUUGUCCGGAAUCAUUGGGCGUAAAGGGAGCGCAGGCGGGCAUAUAAGUCUUUCUUAAAAGUGCGGGGCUCAACCCCGUGAUGGGAAAGAAACUAUAUGUCUUGAGUACAGGAGAGGAAAGCGGAAUUCCCAGUGUAGCGGUGAAAUGCGUAGAUAUUGGGAGGAACACCAGUGGCGAAGGCGGCUUUCUGGACUGCAACUGACGCUGAGGCUCGAAAGCCAGGGGAGCGAACGGG